rnacentral:lncRNA from 1 species
GCGAGGGCUGUGUCUCUAGAUUUUUACAGCGCAGAGAACACGUUGCCGGGGUUAAAUGAUGCUAUAUUGCAGAUGCAGGUCAGGUCUCCUCUGAUGUAGGACGUGUUAUGGACGUGCCGGACAUUCUACCUUUUUUUUUGGACUUCCCGUUUCCGUACUUUGCUAUGCUACGGACAUCCAGCACGUGAAGUAAAACGCACAGCAGAUCGACAGCAUCCAUGCCUUGGCUAAUUGUCUGCGUCCGGAGAAAAAAAAAGAAAAAAAACACGACAUCCACACGUCCAGUUCCACCCGGGGAAUGAAACCGGACGCUAACUAGCCUUCAG